AUUCGUUUGUGAUUUCGGUUUCUGGCGGAAAAGACUUUCGCCGCCGAGAAGCAGUUCAUUGGACACACGAAGUGGCCGUGCAGACGAUUUGGGCUGACCGUGACCUUUUCUUGCUGUCUGAAGGAAGAGUCCGGUGCCAACAGGCUGACCUUUCACACCGACCUUGCCUUGCCCUUGCGCCCGGGAGCCAAAUUACCAGGAUGAUCCUGCCCAUCAGGUUGUCUCUGUCCGAGACAACCCUGAGUGGAGGAG